rnacentral:lncRNA from 10 species
UCUGCCUGAGUGGGCUGACAAGCUGGAGGGAAGGGCGCUGUUUUUCUGUCUUCGUUACUGUCCUUUCCGGGUUUGGCUUCUCCUCUGGGAGUGUGGCUGCAGGAGCCUCCCAUAGUGAUAUUGAUGGAAAGGGGAAAGGUCAAGGUUUGGGUAGGAGGAAGAGGACUUCCCACCCAGUGCUAGGAUUAAUCAUUUAUUGGGCGCCUCUUGAACGCCAGGCGAUGCGAGACUGAAAAUGAUCAAGUCCCUGCUCACAUUUUUGGGAUAGAGGUGAGGCGCAGAAAACACUCCCUCGGGGAAGUGCCAGCCCUCCUCGCAGCCCCGCCCUCCGGCCCGCCGCCGGCCUUCGGGGCCGUAGCGGCGCGCAGGGCCCGCAGAGACCGAGACCUGCGCACUACAACUCCCAGGAGGCCUCGCGACCAGACCGCCGAGGGGCCACUAGAGAAAGGUGCGUCUGCGGCGAAUCCCGUCGCCCAGCGCACGGCAGCGGGUGUGCCUGAGUGCGCGUCGCCUCCCAACCAGAGAGGACGUGGCAUACGGCGCCACCGGAAGUUCCGGCAAGUGGGCCCUGAGGCUGGCCCCAGCUUCCGGGUUGGUCGCGCGCCUUCCUGCGGCUAAGAUGGCG